AUGUCGGCUCCGACCACGAGCCGUCUCCACGGCCACCUCCUCCCUGCCCUCCCAUCCCGCCCCCCUCGCGCUCCGUCAUCCUCAGCCCCAUCAGCCCGGGGACCCAGCCGUCGGCCUGCCUCCCGGCUCUACCGCUCCUCGCCGCCGGUGGAAGCGCCGCCGUCCGGCAAGGGCGGCGAGUACCGGCCCUCCUUCGCCGACGACUUCCUCCUUGCCUUCUUCCGGGCCAAGAUGGUGGAGGUGUUUGUCGAGAAGUGUAAAUAUUUGGAAGAGAGCAAAUGUCUUGGCAUUUGUAUCAACACGUGCAAACUGCCAACCCAGACCUUCUUCAAGGAUCACAUGGGUGUCUAUCUGUAUAUGGAGCAAAAUUUUGAAGACUAUAGCUGCCAGUUCAACUUUGGAGUUCCACCCCCACCUAUCGACACCGACAAGGCCCUGAAGGAACCAUGCUUGGACAUAUGCACAAACGCGAGACGGCGCAGAGAGCUUGGCAGCAGCGGUGGCCCAGAAGGUCUAUGUCCCCAAGUUUGA
rnacentral:rRNA from 1 species